GUCUUGAUAUGCCAUUCUUGAUUUCAAGUUAUGUGACCCAUCUGAUCUCAGAAGCUAAGCCCGGUCGGGCCUGGUUAGUACUUGGAUGGAAGACCAUCUAGGAAGACCAGGUGCUGUAGGCG
rnacentral:rRNA from 1 species